rnacentral:rRNA from 1 species
GACGAACGCUGGCGGCGUGCCUAAUACAUGCAAGUCGAACGCUUCUUUCCUCCCGAGUGCUUGCACUCAAUUGGAAAGAGGAGUGGCGGACGGGUGAGUAACACGUGGGUAACCUACCCAUCAGAGGGGGAUAACACUUGGAAACAGGUGCUAAUACCGCAUAACAGUUUAUGCCGCAUGGCAUAAGAGUGAAAGGCGCUUUCGGGUGUCGCUGAUGGAUGGACCCGCGGUGCAUUAGCUAGUUGGUGAGGUAACGGCUCACCAAGGCCACGAUGCAUAGCCGACCUGAGAGGGUGAUCGGCCACACUGGGACUGAGACACGGCCCAGACUCCUACGGGAGGCAGCAGUAGGGAGUCUUCGGCAAUGGACGAAAGUCUGACCGAGCAACGCCGCGUGAGUGAAGAAGGUUUUCGGAUCGUAAAACUCUGUUGUUAGAGAAGAACAAGGACGUUAGUAACUGAACGUCCCCUGACGGUAUCUAACCAGAAAGCCACGGCUAACUACGUG